rnacentral:lncRNA from 1 species
CUUUUGCUUCAUGAUUUAUGAGACACAGCAUGAUUGAGGGAAAGAAUUUGCAAGUGGCAAUUAGAGGCACAUAGGAGGAAGCAAGCUGGAAUGAUUUCUGCUAACGAGCCCCAAGAAGAAUGAAUUCAUCAACAUAGGGCUGUUCUGACUGUGUGGCUGAUACUGGAAUCAUGCUAAUGGUGCUUCCCUACCCAGGAAAGCUAGCUCGCAGCUCUGGAAACUUCAGUGCAUCUGAAGGAGGCCCUCUGUACUUACAAGGAGAACUACUCCAGAACACCGUCUUGAAAUGGAUCUGCUCACAAAGACUGGAGCAUUUUCAACGUGUGAGAGUGAGGAAGAGGAAGGAGAUAAGGCUGAUGCUGAGGAAUGGUUAACGUCUGGACUUCAGGGGACAGAUAGCGUUGUGUAAAGGACUUCAUUUCAGCGCUAUAAUAAUGCUUUAAGAAAGUGUGAGUACAAACAGAAUCAGAGAUUCUAUAUCCUGCUCAGUCCUUAGGUUAUAAAGAUGGAGGUCAUUAGUUGAACUCAUGUAAGUUU